AUGCUAGGGAGGCUAUCAGCAUGGCUGAAGCGUCAUAUAGAUUAUUCGAGGAAAAGCAAGUUCAAAGAAAAGAAAAGGAGGAAAUUUUUGCAAAGCAAAAAGAAGAGAUUGAGGAAUUGAAGAUUCAGCACGACCUGUGCCUAAACAAACUUCAGAUGAUCCAGGAGAAGAAGCCUGUACUAGAAAGUCAAAUAACUGAAUCCUCCUGUGCAGGGAAGGAGUUAGA
rnacentral:misc_RNA from 1 species